rnacentral:rRNA from 1 species
AGAGUUUGAUCAUGGCUCAGAGCGAACGCUGGCGGCGUGCUUAACACAUGCAAGUCGAGUGCGCAGUUUCCCGCCGCAAGGCGGGGGAUGGGCGCACGGCGCACGGGUGCGUAACACGUGGGUAACCUGCCCUUCGAUGGGGGACAACCCCGCGAAAGCGGGGCUAAUACCGCAUGACAUUCCGUUGAUUUCGAUCGCCGGAAUCAAAGCCCGCAAGGGCGUCGGAGGAGGGGCCCGCGCCCGAUUAGCUUGUUGGUGAGGUAAUGGCUCACCAAGGCUAUGAUCGGUAGCCGGUCUAAGAGGACGAUCGGCCACACUGGAACUGAGACACGGUCCAGACUCCUACGGGAGGCAGCAGUGGGGAAUCUUGCGCAAUGGGCGAAAGCCUGACGCAGCGACGCCGCGUGGGGGAUGAAGCCCUUCGGGGUGUAAACCCCUUUCGACCCGGACGAAUGGCCCGCAAGGGAAUUGACGGUACGGGUAGAAGAAGCCCCGGCUAACUACGUGCCAGCAGCCGCGGUAAAACGUAGGGGGCCAGCGUUGCUCGGAAUUACUGGGCGUAAAGGGUUCGUAGGCGGUGCGGCAAGUCGGAAGUGAAAUCUCAGGGCUUAACUCUGAGGCUGCUUCCGAAACUGCCGCGCUCGAGUGCGGGAGAGGCGAGUGGAAUUGCAGGUGUAGCGGUGAAAUGCGUAGAUAUCUGCAGGAACACCCGUGGCGAANGCGGCUCGCUGGACCGCAACUGACGCUGAGGAACGAAAGCUAGGGGAGCAAACAGGAUUAGAUACCCUGGUAGUCCUAGCCCUAAACCAUCAGGACUUGGGGUGCAUCCCGUUUGGGGUGCGUCCCGGAGCUGACGCGUUAAGUCCUGCGCCUGGGGAGUACGGUCGCAAGGCUGAAACUCAAAUGAAUUGACGGG